GUUGAACGCUGGCGGCAGGCCUAACACAUGCAAGUCGAGCGAGCGGCGGACGGGUGAGUAAUGUCUGGGAAACUGCCUGAUGGAGGGGGAUAACUACUGGAAACGGUAGCUAAUAUCGCAUACUAUCAGAUGUGCCCAGAUGUGAUUAGCUAGUAGGUGGGGUAAAGGCUCACCUCGGCGACGAGCCCUCGCUGGUCUGAGAGGAUGACCAGCCACACUGGAACGGAGACACGGUCCAGACUCCUACGGGAGGCAGCAGGGGGGAAUAUGGCACAAUGGGCGCAAGCCUGAUGCAGCCAUGCCGCGUGUGUGAAGAGGGCCUUCGGGUUUUAAAGCACUUACAGCGGGGAGGCGUUACCCGCAGAAGAAGCACCGGCUAACUCCGUGCCAGCAGCCGCGGUAAUUC
rnacentral:rRNA from 1 species